AGCAAAAAAGGGCCAAAGAGGAGCCAGGACUUUCAGAGCCCACAUCCUGCGGCCGGGCCUAAAUGCUGGUAGACUAGGGGAUCCCAGUGGUGGGAGAGUGAGCCAUCCAGAGCGCCGCGAUGGAAACCUUCUUCUAGCAAUAUAUAUCCACCAGACCUACUAUGCAUCAGACACUGCUUUACAUGUUGGGGUCCAAGAUGAACAAGACAGACCUUGCCUUCCCAGAACUUUGCAUUCUUCUGUGGAGAGACUGACAAUAGACAGCUUACUAGGAGACAAGUCCAAGGUACCCCUGUGCCCGGCUGAGCUCUGAGAACUGUGAACUUCCUUAUCCACAGCCAAGAUGGAAAAUGGCUUUUAUAGUUGGGCUCCAGUCCUCGUGGAAUCCUGCAAAGGACACGGCAGAGCCUAAGGCAGAACCCAGCUGGCACUGGGAAAGAAGAGGCAUCACAG